rnacentral:rRNA from 1 species
CCUAGCGCUAAGGCUCGAUGGGAUGGUGCGCAAGCAUUGUCAUUUUCCGAAGAGGCCAUCGAGCGGUGCAGCGUUACAAACCGCAAUGUUUAGUAGUGUCUUUGGUAGUAAUGUAAAAGUUGCUGCCCAUAGCCUAGCAUGCAAGUUCCAUUGACUUGGACUAAUUGUAAAUGACUAUGAUCUUGGGGCAACUUGAGAUUUUUAGUUGAGCCAGAGCGGGUGUAAGCCCCAUACCGUGCAGGCAUUGGCAUUACGAAUUGUGGCUGGCAUUCGCAAGAGUGUCAACUUUGUUAGAGUCGAGUUGCUUGAGAGUGCAACUUAAAGUGCGAGGUAAACUACUCGUAAGGCUAUUUGUAAUACGGCUACGACACCGAUAGCAAACAAGUACCGUGAGGGAAAGUUGAAAUAGAACUUUGCAGAGAGAGUUAACAGGGCGUGAAACCGUUAAUUGGCAAACGAAUCGGAGCCACGAAGUCGUUUCGUUGUAAGUUGGGCGGAGUUCAGUGAGCGUUGAAAGGCGCUUGCGUAUUCUCGCUGCUCAACCAACUUUGUAAGCGUACACUGCAACUAGUUAGACGAUCACGCCGUGGGCUGAGUGCUUCGGAGCGAGCAAUCGCUUAGUUGUGCGCACUGCUUGUUUGUGCGCGGUAGUAGUAGCGCGGUUGUGCCUCGGUGCUUCUCGUGUUGCUGGCCGCGUGCGAGAGAACUACGGCUGAAUACUGACUGGCGAAAUGAAAACCGUUGAAAAAGACGUUAGAGAAAAGGCGGUUAACCGCAUGUGCGUCUACACGCUCGACUGUUGAGUCUAAGCUUGGCGUCUUUGAAUUCAGACUUGCUUGCUACCAGUGGGGCAACUCCUGGUGCUUGUAUUGCUUCUGUCUAAUCGGGCGUCGACUUGGCGCGGCAUCGUUCGUGGCGUGAACCGCUCGGGUGUGCAUGCGAGCUAAUUCGCAAUUUGAAUUGGCAGUGAGUAGGUCGGCUUUCCGAACGACCCGUCUUGAAACACGGACCAAGGAGUCUAAUUGGGCAUCGAGUCGAUCGGUCUUGAAUAGGCCAGAGAAGGGUGUUCGCACUCUAGUUGAAGGCGUAGAGAAAUCAAAUCGUGUGAUCGCUUUGGCAACAACAGCCAUCGUGCGCAACAUGUGCCUGUUCGUAUGGCAACUGUUAGCAAUAACUUGCCGGGCGGAGCAAAGAGAUGCCCGAUUGGGACCCGAAAGAUGGUGAACUAUGCCUGGGCAAAUUGAAGCCAGAGGAAACUCUGGUGGAGGAUUGUAGCGAUUCUGACGUGCAAAUCGAUCGUCAGACCUGGGUAUAGGGGCGAAAGACUAAUCGAACCAUCUAGUAGCUGGUUCCCUCCGAAGUUUCCCUAAGGAUAGCUAGCGCUCGUGACUUGUGAAUAGUUUCAUCUGGUAAAGCUAAUGAUUAGAGGAAUUGGGAGCGAAACGCUCUCAACCUAUUCUCAAACUUUAAAUGGGUGAGAUGCGUGACAUGCUUAAGUGAUGCCACGUUAUUUUAGAGAAUAUAUUGAGCGCUAAGUGGGCCAUUUUUGGUAAGCAGAACUGGCGAUGCGGGAUGAACCGAAAGUAAAGUUAAAGUUGCCGAUAAUAGCGUUGAAGAAAUUGGACGUUCGCUACACUCAUGAGAUCCCAUAAAAGGUGUGACCCGCUGAAGACAGCAAGGAUGUGGCCAUGGAAGUUGGAAUCAUCUAAGGAGUGUGUAACAACUCACUUGCCGAAGCGCGUCGCCCUGAAAAUGGAAGCAGCUUGAGUGUUGAACUUAUACUUUGCCGUUGAAACAUAAUGAACAAUAGGUAGGUUUCAACGUGUAGGAGGGUUGUGUUGGUAGCAUUGAAGGGUAUGAGGGAGUGAUCCUGCCUGGAGCUGCCAAUAGUACAGAUCUUGGUGGUAGUAGCAAAUACUCAAGUGAGACCCUUGAGGGCCAAUGUGGAGAAGGGUUCCAUGCUAACAGCAAUUGAACAUGGGUCAGUCGGUCCUAAGAGAAUGGCGAAAGCUAUUUCUGAAUCAAAGGCGGUGUAUAGCAAUGUAAAUUACUAAAAACAAGUAGAAUGUGUAGUGAAUAUGGGUAUGUGACUUGUAUUUGUUUACAAAUGAACGUAGUUUUUGAAAAAAAACUUGUACAUAAAGACAACGUGCUUCAGUCAAAACCCAAAUAAAAAACAUUUGCACAUUCUCAUUUGCAAUUAGAAUAUCACCGUAUGACUCGAAAGGGAAUAAGGUUAAUAUUCCUUAACCAAGAUGGGGAGAUUAUCGUUGGAUUGUGCUUCGGUAUGGUUCAAUUGAUAUUGGCGGUAACGCAAACAAGCGCGUCGACGCCGUCGGCAGAAUGGGGAAGAGUUGUCUUUUCUUUCUAAGUUUACUUAGUUUUCAACGAGUCCCUGGAAUCGAUUCACUCGAAGAUAGGCGAUGUAGUAAACGUAAAAUCAUACGGUUCUAGUAUGAUCCCAAUUUCUGUUGACGGCCCUUGAAAAGACGCGUAAGCGGAGCUAGUAGGCUCUCUUUCGGGGGAGUUUGUUAGCGUUGAUUCUCUCACUUGGCCGUACCAAUAUCCGCAUCAGGUCUCCAAGGUUAGCAGCCUCUGGUCACUUAGGAUAAUGUAGGUAAGGGAAGUCGGCAAAUUAGUUCCGUAACUUAGGGAAAAGGAAUGGCUCUGAGGGCUGAGUUGGUCGGGCCGUAUUGUUUGAUUUUGGUUACGAGUUCUGUUUGUGCUGAUUAAGUUUACUAGCUUAUCUUUCGGGGUAUGUUUAGAGAAUUUAAAUGGCGCGAAUGUCUCUGCCAGGAUUGACUGCGGCUGCCCUCAAGUGUAUGUUGUCUCACGAUUUCAUAUGUUUGGUCAAGGGUUAUCGGUCAACAAUUAACAGCCGAAUCAGAACUGGCACGGACUCCGGGAAUCCGACUGUCUAAUUAAAACAAAGCAAGCUGAAGGCCGUCAUCGGUGUUGACAGCUUGUGAUUUCUGCCCAGUGCUUUGAAUGUUAUAUAUUUGAGAUGAUAUUAAGCGCAAGUAAACGGCGGGAGUAACUAUGACUCUCUUCUGGUAGCCAAAUGCCUCGUCAUCUAAUUAGUGACGCGCAUGAAUGGAUUAACGAGAUUCCCACUGUCCCUAUCUACUACCUAGCGAAACCACAGCCAAGGGAACGGGCUUGGCAAAAUCAGCGGGGAAAGAAGACCCUGUUGAGCUUGACUCUA